CAGAGGACCAUGUGAGAGCAUCACAGGAAUGCACUGAACUUGGAGACAGCUAGGAUUAUUCUCAAGAAAAAUCUCUAAAAGUCUCACUUUGAUACCACUGGCAAGGUUGAAACUGUGAAACCCAGUGAAAGCUUUUGAGAGGUGAAGACAAAGUGCAGAUAAACAGGUGUGUGUCUACAAGAUGAAUCUAGAAACCCAGAGGAGGAGGAGUGAGCCAUGGUCUGCAGAAUUGAUAAGUGCAGAUGGAGGGAUAGAGCCAGGCUGGCUGGAAGACAGCACAGCUUUAUUCUACCAAGACGGUCUCAGAUUGCCAGGAGCCGCUCCAGAAGCCAAAGCAAGAGAAUGCUUAGAACAGCGGAAGUCCACUGGAGUGUCUUCUCAUUCCGUUCACUACUCUCAGAGCAAUAAAGAUGCGCAGUACUUGCUAUAGGCG
ensembl:lncRNA